rnacentral:rRNA from 1 species
GUGGGGAAUAUUGCACAAUGGGCGCAAGCCUGAUGCAGCAACGCCGCGUGCGGGAUGACGGCCUUCGGGUUGUAAACCGCUUUCAGCAGGGACGAAGCGAAAGUGACGGUACCUGCAGAAGAAGCACCGGCCAACUACGUGCCAGCAGCCGCGGUGAUACGUAGGGUGCAAGCGUUGUCCGGAAUUAUUGGGCGUAAAGAGCUUGUAGGCGGUUUGUCGCGUCGGAUGUGAAAACUCAGGGCUUAACCCUGAGCGUGCUUUCGAUACGGGCAGACUAGAGGAAGUUAGGGGAGAACGGAAUUCCUGGUGGAGCGGUGGAAUGCGCAGAUAUCAGGAGGAACACCAGUGGCGAAGGCGGUUCUCUGGGACUUUCCUGACGCUGAGAAGCGAAAGCAUGGGGAUCAAACAGGCUUAGAUACCCCAGUAGUCC